GGGUGCGAUCAUACCAGCACUAAUGCACCGGAUCCCAUCAGAACUCCGAAGUUAAGUGUGCUUGGGCGAGAGUAGUACUAGGAUGGGUGACCCCUUGGGAAGUCCUCGUGUUGCACUCCU
rnacentral:rRNA from 1 species